CUUUUACAAAAUGUUGUCGUUUCUGUAAUUGCUUCAAACUUUGAAGAGCAAAAGAACUACUACAGCCACGACCCACAUAGAAGUCCUCCUACAGGUCUCUCUCUCUUUCUUUUAGUUAAAAUGGAAAGAUGAGAUCGCCCUCGAUUUAAAUAUUUUCGUGUUUAAAAUAAAGGUAAAAUUUGUAAAACAAUGCAUUAACUGCUCUAUAUGAUGCAUGGCAGGUUCACACGGCAGCCCAUCUCAUGGAACGCCACCAUCACACGGAUCUGGAGGUGGUGGUCAUGGUGGCAGCACGCCCACUUACCCUACUCCAUCAACCCCAUCGACCCCAUCGCAUGGAAAUUGUGGAACCCCACCAACAACGCCAUCAACUCCAUCAAAUCCUCCAACGGGAGGAGGUGGUGGAUAUUACCCUCCAUCAACACCAUCAAAUCCUCCAACAGGAGGAGGUGGUGGAAAUAAUCCUCCCUCACCUGAUAUUACUCCUCCAACACCUGCCAUUGUAAGCCCACCAACCACCACUCCUCCAACUCCUUACUUUCCCAUUCCAACUCCAUCCACUCCGGACGUUCCCUCACCUCCGUUCACUCCUGAUCCAAAUUCACCCUAUACAUGCAAGUAAGUUUUUACUUACGUAUUUUAAUUCUUAGCUUGUUGCAUUGUAAAGUAGGUACUCCACUCAGUGGGAAAGCCACGUCGAAGAAGAGGAAAGCAAUUUCUGUGCAGGUCCUGUAGUUGAAACUCAGGGCCUGCCAUAAUUUUUCCUUCUAUCCUUAACCAUUUUCCCCUUGAUUUAUGUAAAAUGGUGGUAUGAAAUCCUGGUUUCGCCCUUCUCUACAUUGAUAUAUAUAUAUAUAUAUAUAUAUAUAAAAUGACAUGAAUGUUCUUGUUUAAUUUAUAUACAGUUACUGGAAAAAUCAUCCUGGUUUAGUAUGGGGUCUGCUUGGCUGGUGGGGAACAGUUGGCAAUGCAUUUGGAGUAACUAGCUUGCCUAGUUUUGGAACAAGCAUGAACGUACAACAAGCACUUGCAAAUACACGUGCUGAUGGGUAUGGGAGUCUCUACAGGGAAGGUA
rnacentral:lncRNA from 1 species